CUCUCUUCCUCCUCCCCAGCAUGGUAUAAAAAGGAAUAUUUGAAAAGCCUGUUCUCUAAGGCUCCUCAAGAUGCUGUGAGAUUCUCAGAAGACUAAUGUUUUCUUUCAGCAUUCCUGGUGAGAUCUUCAGGCACCACUCUGGGAUUUUGUCCACCUUGGCAUGCAGUCUCUCCCCUCUGGUUAUGAUGCUCAGAGGAAAGUCCUGUACUCCUCUCUGACAUCUUUGCAGAUGGCUGAGGGAUGCAUGAUUUCUCCCACUGAGCUUUGGGGCAACAUGACUGCAACCACUGGAGCUUUGCUGAAGUCAGUGGACUCCACAAUCCCUGCGAUUCCUCUUAACAAACUUACAGCUCUAAACUUGUUCCAAAUGCCAGACAUCUUUCACCACGAGACAGGUGUAGCCAAGACAUCACACAGCAAGAUUUGGUGUGCAAAAAGAGAAAACAUUGCAGUUGGAGUUUGAGUAAAGUUAUGAAAUCCCUGAUGUGCAACAAUUGUGGGGUGGACAAGCUGAAUGUUUUUUCAUGGUCACAAGACAGAAAACAUAAAAGAGGAACAUCAGUGAAAUAAUCAGCUGGUGGAGCACAGCUUUUGGCUAAGAAAGACCUCUUAACACUGUAGCACUUCAAAGCCUGACUAAAAAUACAAACAAUAUAGUCUACCUGCUUUUUAUUUACUGCAUUGAGCCUAUUCAGCAACAACAGAUUGUCUGACCUGUGCAUGGGAUUAGUUUCCAGUGGAGCUGUUAUAUUUCAGACUCCCAAAAGUAAAACCCACUUGACAUCUGGGAGAAAAGGGCAGCAAAUAUAUGACAAAAUUUAAUGAAUCCAAGGGAAGCAAGGGUUCAAGUAAAGGUGAAAAAUAAUCAUAUUUUAAAUGUCAAUGGGUAGUAUAGGCUACUACUGUAUUGCUUUACUCCUGGUUUUAAUAGGGUAUCAUUGCAAUUUUCAAUUGGGUUGCACCAGGGUAAAACUGGGAAACAGAGCCCUUAGGCUGCUUUAAUUUAUAAUAGGAUAUAAAUUAUUUGGAGCUGAAAUUCCAUCAGUUUAGUGGCACAGUGUUAAAAAGUUUAAGCUACAUCCAUGAAAAAUACAGAUUUUUCUAACUAUGUGCAAAUGUUAGUACUUUUGAGUCUGUAUUUGACACUGUGUCAGUAACCAAUAUGAAAAAAAAAGCACAGAUUUCCUUGUGCUCAAAUCAAGCCCAUCAAACAAUUCGAGCUAUCAAACAAUUUGACUCUUAUCUGCCUCCUUCCUCACAGCUGAGGAGGCUCAGAAACACAGACAAACAAGCAAUUGUCUGUAAAUAGACUAUAAUAGAAGAUAAUAAUGAAAAUAUAUCUCAUUAGCCAUUUCCUUGUCCUGGUACCUUCACAACUUUUUGGUUUGCAUUUCAUGACUGAUGACCACACUCUGGUUACAUCCUAAGUGAAUUCUACAUGGGCCUAUUCCAACAGUCUCUGCAAUUUAAUGACACUUCAGUAUUUGUUUUAGUCCUGCCAAUUUCUACACCUAACACAGACCUAGAUGAACUUUCCAACUCCUCAGAAGAAAGCUUCUAUUUUUACAAUUUAAAUGUGUUCUGGUAAAAAUAUUCCAGGUUGCAGAAUAUUCCCUUCCUUUGGAGGCUACAAAGCACCCAUAUCCUUCAAUAUGACUUAAUUAAAUGACAGCUAUACUUAAUUAAGGCAAAAUUGCAGUGGGUAGGAUGGUCAACUUCAGUACAAAUAAAAUAAAUGUUCUGGGACUAAAGAAGAGUCAUUCUGUUCCUGUUCUCCCAAGCUCUGCUGGAAAUAUAGGCUGACAGGUUAAUAGAAGCAUUUCCAAACAGUUGUAAGAAAUCAGCUAUCUGAUUCAAGAAUUCUGUUCCUUGGUUAACUUACAAUUCAGCUACUGAAAACUUGAUUUUCCCAUCUGUGAGUUGACAAAAUGGAAUGAACACAGUAUUAAUAUUUAUGUUCCAAAUAGAAAAGGCUUUCAAAGCAUGUUCAUAAAGUGGAAAAUAAAAGCAGCAGUUUAUCCAAAAGUUUCUGGCAUUUUGUAAAUUUAAAAUGUAUCAGCCUUGCUGCCAGGAUUUGUUGGUUUAAGAGCAAGUAAUCAUAUUUUAUAGAAGUUAUUAAUAUAGGUGAACUUCUGUAUCAUUUGAAUGUUCUCUAGUAUAUGGAUCAGUUAAUUUCAACUACAGUUCAUACUGUUAUGAGUGUUUAUUCCAAAAUUGCCCACA